CAAUGCAGGGCUGCCACCCCCGCGCCCAGCAGCGGGCUGAGUCCGGGCGGCUGGCUGGGCCCAGAGCCGGGAGCGCGGAAAGGGGGAGGAGGAGGGAGCCCCCGACCUGGCCUAGGUGCAGCACCGCGCCUAGGCCCUCGGCGGGGAAGGGAUCUUGCAAGACUAUCCGGGCCGGUUUCUCAACCAGGGGAUCGGGACCCAAAAGUGGGGAUUUGGAUCAAUCUUCUCAUGCCUCCCGGUGUGGGGGCAGGGUGAGGUGCAUGUGGGGCAGGGGACCCAAGCAGCCUGGAGCUCUGCCAUUUUGUGGACCUGCUCUGGUUCUUCUAUACAGCGAACAAGUUCGCUGCGUCGCUCAUCUCCCUGGAGAACACG